CGGUGAACACGGAGCUUGCUCUGUGGGAUCAGUGGCGAACGGGUGAGUAACACGUGAGCAACCUGCCCCUGACUCUGGGAUAAGCGCUGGAAACGGCGUCUAAUACUGGAUAUGUGACGUGACCGCAUGGUCUGCGUUUGGAAAGAUUUUUCGGUUGGGGAUGGGCUCGCGGCCUAUCAGCUUGUUGGUGAGGUAAUGGCUCACCAAGGCGUCGACGGGUAGCCGGCCUGAGAGGGUGACCGGCCACACUGGGACUGAGACACGGCCCAGACUCCUACGGGAGGCAGCAGUGGGGAAUAUUGCACAAUGGGCGAAAGCCUGAUGCAGCAACGCCGCGUGAGGGAUGACGGCCUUCGGGUUGUAAACCUCUUUUAGCAGGGAAGAAGCGAAAGUGACGGUACCUGCAGAAAAAGCGCCGGCUAACUACGUGCCAGCAGCCGCGGUAAUACGUAGGGCGCAAGCGUUAUCCGGAAUUAUUGGGCGUAAAGAGCUCGUAGGCGGUUUGUCGCGUCUGCUGUGAAAUCCCGAGGCUCAACCUCGGGCCUGCAGUGGGUACGGGCAGACUAGAGUGCGGUAGGGGAGAUUGGAAUUCCUGGUGUAGCGGUGGAAUGCGCAGAUAUCAGGAGGAACACCGAUGGCGAAGGCAGAUCUCUGGGCCGUAACUGACGCUGAGGAGCG
rnacentral:rRNA from 1 species